UUGGCUCAGGAAAAACAGGGUAAGCCCCUCUCUUUCUCUCUCUAAAACUUCUCUCUAUUUUUUAAUAGAAGUAAAUGGAAUUAGUUCUUUUCUCUUCUCUUCUUCAUGUUGGCUGAUGUUGUGAGCUGUGGGGGAGUUACGAAAGAGGUGACGGAGAGUCUCUGUGGUCAUAAACUCCAACCCUAGCUCAGGAAUUUGCUGAGCUUAAAGCUUUGGAUGCUGGUUUGGAGAAGUUUACAGCAGCUGUGGAGGUAUGGGAGGAAGUAUUUUGGCUAUGGUUCUUCAAUCCUAGCUCAGUAGAAACUGAGUUAGAACUUCGGAAGGUUAUUGGACCCCUUUGGCUGAGAUUUCUGAUCUUUGGAAGGUUGGUUUUGGUGUAUUCCAACCUGAAUUGAAGAGAAGAUUAAGUUUGGAUUCUAUACUAGGCACAAUUCUACCUAAGUGAGAUGUUUAUGUGAGGUAUUGUGUAGAAGUUUAAGUAAAACUUCUGUCACAACCCGCAACCACCCGCCCAUUUGGCCGGGUCGCGGCGUCGCCGACAGACCGCCGAACGGACAAAGUUUUUCCUGUACUGCGGGCAGAGUCUUCCCUGUACGUCCAAGGCGUCGCAAUCAAUAUAAUCAAGGCCGACUCAGGGUACCGCUAUCUCUGGUCUCGGUGAUGGGGCGCUAACUAUAGAACUACGCCCUCGCCUCGCGCCGCCGCGCCGCUCACGUGUAAACCUGUAACACCCCAAAACAACGUGGGGUGAGAACCAACUCCAUGGUUCCCAGUGGGUACGGCCACCCAAGGAAAAAGCUCAACCAAUAGGUCUAAUGAGGCACUGCAACAGGGUGCUUGAAGGCUAGCAAACAUCUUCACUCACGGGAUCGACAAGAGCCGACGUGCAAUUUGAGCCUUCCACAGCGGGAAAGGCUAGGGUUCCUGACGAGGGGUUAGCGGCUAGCUAGAGCCUUCUCGAUGUUAAAUAGAUGAACCUCUACAUGUUUAUUCUAGUUUAGUUCAGUGCUGUAUAUUGGGACAAUGUAGAAUGUACUUUGUUUUUAUAAGCUGUAUUAGGGUUUUGUGUUGUAUAAGCUUAUGAACUUUUAGUUUUACUCUGAUUACCUGGUUAA